GUAAAAUGCAAUAGGCCAAACCUGGAUAUAUCAAAUCAUAGAGAAUAAUUUAUAAGGACAUAGGUCAUCAUAACAAGGAUGGAAAAUGAAUAUGAUAACCAGGAAAUAGCAAAGUACCAACAGAUAAUUUGAUAAAUGUCAUAUCAAAUGUGACAAAACCCCAUAUACUAAAAUCUAUCAUGUGAAAAUGAAUGUGUAAUAGCUGCUGCUAAUGUCUCUUUUAGUUAAUUAGUCUCUGUGCUGAACCAAGCAUUCACCAAGAUUGACUUCUGGUGAUACAUUAAUCAAGAGAUGAAUUAAAAUUUUGAAGAAAAAAUGUAAUGGUGUAAAAACUUGAAAAUGGGACACUGGAAUGUUCUAGGUCAUGGAUAUUAAGCAGAAAGCCUUAUGUAAGAAGACACCAGGAUAGAAACAAAACUCUGGACAAUUUAAUGUGAA